rnacentral:rRNA from 1 species
GAUGAACGCUGGCGGCGUGCCUAAUACAUGCAAGUCGAGCGAACUUUUGGGAGCUUGCUCCCAAAAGUUAGCGGCGGACGGGUGAGUAACACGUGGGUAACCUGCCUGUAAGACUGGGAUAACUUCGGGAAACCGGAGCUAAUACCGGAUAACAUCGAAGAACACAUGGCCUUCAAUUAAAAGGUGGCUCUUAGCUACCACUUACAGAUGGACCCGCGGCGCAUUAGCUAGUUGGUUAGGUAACGGCUCACCAAGGCGACGAUGCGUAGCCGACCUGAGAGGGUGGACGGCCAAAAUUGGACUGAGACACGGCCCAGACCUCUUAGGGAGGGAGCAGUAGGGAAUCUUCCGAAAAUGAGGAAAGGCUGGCGGAGCAAAGCCGGGUGAGCUAAGAAGGGCCUCGGGUCGUAAAGGUCUGUUGUUAGGGGAGAAAAAGUGUCGUUCGAAUAGGGCGGUACCUUGACGGUACCUAACCAGAAAGCCACGGCUAACUACGUG